AGUUUACUCUCACUCUCUUCCCUGCCGAAAGCUGUAGGAAUCAGAAGGCUAAUGUUAAUCAGACUGACGUUGUUUCGCUGCCUGCUCUCCCACUGUCUGUUUCUCACAGUGAGUCCAGCAGCAGCAAGAAGACUCAUCUUGGCAGGAGCUUGUGUCACCAGUUUGUCCUGUCUCUGAACUGUCCGCCCAAGGAUAUUUCUUACAAGAUGGGUUGUUGGUUAAAACGUGGCUACCCCAAGGUUGGCUAAUCAGGUUGAUUGAGCACACCUGCCUGCGCUCUGCUAUCUGACUCUGGCUGGCUCUGCAUGUGAGAGGACAUCUCCUUUCCCACCUUUUGGACAUUACUUUCACACACUACAUAUCACACUCACUCAGACACCCAUGACACCAUUGAUAUUAAAGAUGAACAGUUUUCUUAUGUUAUUUGCUAUUUAGUUGUAACAAAAUAAACAUGUUGACAGAUCA